AAUCUGGACAUCCCCACUCUUCAGUCACAAGGUGGGACACUCAUUUCAGUGACCCAAAGCCAGCUGCCGGCAUGAGCUUGGCUUCCUGCUUGUUCUUCCUUCCUGGGACAAUUGAUGGUAAAUCAAGGAAAAUGAGCAUGAAUCUGAGAUGUGGUUUCUACCACGAUGCGAUGAUGGAACUAUGGAGAUGACUGAAGAAGCAGCUUGUGGGCAGGGAGUCAUGCUGGCUGUAUCCUGGUCCUUCUCUUGCUCCGUCCUUUGCUGUUCCCAGUCCUUCACAGUGUCGAGCUGACGGCUAUGUCCCGGCAGGAUGGCCACCCGUAUGCCAUCCCGUAGGCAUCUCAGCCAGUUAUUUCAAUUAUGUUGCUCAUGCCUGUCUUAAAAGUAGAGUCUAUGCCUUUUAUAUUCAAUACAGAGGAUUCACUAUUCAA